AUUGAACGCUGGCGGCAGGCUUAACACAUGCAAGUCGAGCGGGGUGAUGGUGCUUGCACUAUCACUUAGCGGCGGACGGGUGAGUAAUGCUUAGGAAUCUGCCUAUUAGUGGGGGACAACAUCUCGAAAGGGAUGCUAAUACCGCAUACGUCCUACGGGAGAAAGCAGGGGAUCACUUGUGACCUUGCGCUAAUAGAUGAGCCUAAGUCGGAUUAGCUAGUUGGUGGGGUAAAGGCCUACCAAGGCGACGAUCUGUAGCGGGUCUGAGAGGAUGAUCCGCCACACUGGGACUGGGACACGGCCCAGACUCCUACGGGAGGCAGCAGUGGGGAAUAUUGGACAAUGGGGGGAACCCUGAUCCAGCCAUGCCGCGUGUGUGAAGAAGGCCUUAUGGUUGUAAAGCACUUUAAGCGAGGAGGAGGCUCUUUUGGUUAAUACCCAAGAUGAGUGGACGUUACUCGCAGAAUAAGCACCGGCUAACUCUGUGCCAGCCGCCGCCGUAAGAC
rnacentral:rRNA from 1 species